rnacentral:rRNA from 1 species
UACAGAGGUCUCAAGCGUUGUUCGGAUUCAUUGGGCGUAAAGGGUGCGUAGGCGGCGCGGUAAGUCGGGUGUGAAAUCUCGGAGCUUAACUCCGAAACUGCAUUCGAUACUGCCGUGCUUGAGGACUGGAGAGGAGACUGGAAUUUACGGUGUAGCGGUGAAAUGCGUAGAUAUCAGGAGGAACACCGGUGGCGAAGGCGGGUCUCUGGGCCGAUACUGACGCUGAGAAGCGAAAGCAUGGGGAGCGAACAGG